rnacentral:rRNA from 1 species
AUGAACGCUGGCGGCGUGCCUCAUCCAUGCCAGUCGCGCGAACAGACGAGGAGCUUGCUCCUCUGACGUUAGCGGCGGACGGGUGAGUAACACGUGGAUAACCUACCUAUAAGACUGGGAUAACUUCGGGAAACCGGAGCUAAUACCGGAUAAUAUAUUGAACCGCAUGGUUCAAUAGUGAAAGACGGUUUUGCUGUCACUUAUAGAUGGAUCCGCGCCGCAUUAGCUAGUUGGUAAGGUAACGGCUUACCAAGGCAACGAUGCGUAGCCGACCUGAGAGGGUGAUCGGCCACACUGGAACUGAGACACGGUCCAGACUCCUACGGGAGGCAGCAGUAGGGAAUCUUCCGCAAUGGGCGAAAGCCUGACGGAGCAACGCCGCGUGAGUGAUGAAGGUCUUCGGAUCGUAAAACUCUGUUAUUAGGGAAGAACAAAUGAGUAAGUAACUAUGCACGUCUUGACGGUACCUAAUCAGAAAGCCACGGCUAACUACGUG